rnacentral:rRNA from 1 species
AGAAGCGGCAACAGCUCAAAUUUGAAAUCUGGCCCUCGGGUCCGAGUUGUAAUUUGUAGAGGAUGCUUUUGGCGCGGUGCCUUCCGAGUUCUCUGGAACGAGACGCCUUAGAGGGUGAGAGCCCCGUACGGUUGGACACCAAGCCUCUGUAAAGCUCCUUCGACGAGUCGAGUAGUUUGGGAAUGCUGCUCUAAAUGGGAGGUAAAUUUCUUCUAAAGCUAAAUAUUGGCCAGAGACCGAUAGCGCACAAGUAGAGUGAUCGAAAGAUGAAAAGCACUUUGAAAAGAGGGUUAAAUAGUACGUGAAAUUGUGAAAGGGAAGCGUUUGCGACCAGACCUUUUCUUAGCGGAUCAUCCGGUGUUCUCACCGGUGCACUUCGCUAGGUUUAGGCCAGCAUCGGUUUCUGUAGGGGGAUAAAAGCCCUGGGAAUGUAGCUCCCUCGGGAGUGUUAUAGCCCUCUGCAUAAUACCCUUACAGGGACCGAGGACCGCGCUUCGGCAAGGAUGCUGGCGUAAUGGUCGUCAACGACCCGUCUUGAAACACGGACCAAGGAGUCGAACAUUUGUGCGAGUGUUUGGGUGUUAAACCCUCACGCGUAAUGAAGGUGAACGGAGGUGAGAGCCCCUAGGGGUGCAUCAUCGACCGAUCCUGAUGUCUUCGGAUGGAUUUGAGUAAGAGCAUAACUGUUCGGACCCGAAAGAUGGUGAACUAUGCGUGGAUAGGGUGAAGCCAGAGGAAACUCUGGUGGAGGCUCGCAGCGGUUCUGACGUGCAAAUCGAUCGUCAAAUCUGCGCAUGGGGGCGAAAGACUUAUCGAACCAUCUAGUAGCUGGUUACCGCCGAAGUUUCCCUCAGGAUAGCAGUGUUGUUCUUCAGUUUUAUGAGGUAAAGCGAAUGAUUAGGGACUCGGGGGCGCUUUUUAGCCUUCAUCCAUUCUCAAACUUUAAAUAUGUAAGAAGCCCUUGUUGCUUAAUUGAACGUGGGCAUUCGAAUGUACCAACACUAGUGGGCCAUUUUUGGUAAGCAGAACUGGCGAUGCGGGAUGAACCGAACGCGGGGUUAAGGUGCCGGAGUGGACGCUCAUCAGACACCACAAAAGGUGUUAGCACAUUUAGACAAUAGGACGGUGGCCAUGGAAGUCGGAAUCCGCUAAGGACUGUGUAACAACUCACCUAUCGAAUGUGCUAGCCCUGAAAAUGGAUGGCGCUCAAGCGUCCCACCCAUACCUCGCCCUCAGGGUAGAAACGAUGCCCUGAGGAGUAGGCGGCCGUGAGCGCGGUUAGUGACGAAGCCUAGGGCGGAGCCCAGUCAA